rnacentral:tRNA from 1 species
CUCCCUGUAGUUUAAGGGAAAAACAGAUCCCUCCUAAGGAUCAGAUUCAGGUUCGAUUCCUGGCAGGGAGACCA